rnacentral:lncRNA from 1 species
GACGCUCUAGACACACCCUCAGCCCCGCCCCGGCCCUGCUCCUCUGCGGGCCAGUGGACACGCCCCUCCAACCUAGCCCAGUCGGGGUUCUUAGUAGCUGUGGACACACCCUCGGCCCCGCCUCUACUUCGUCCUCAAGGCUGUAGACACGCUUGUCCAUCCAGCUCCUUCCCCUCCCCUGCCACAGUGGACACGCCCCUGACACGCCCCUGUCCGGAUGCCGCGCAGGCGCAGUAUUCUCUACUGAGGGCUAGCUUGUUUCCCAGCAAUUUGAGAGACUAAUCUCAGGCGCUGCUGCUUGAUUGGGCCACAUUCCUGCGUCCAGGGACUGGUUCGUCUCUACCUUUGGGCAAAGCCGGCUCCCUGAGAACUGAGUGCCUUUACAGUCCGAACAGGCGCUGCGUCUUUGGACAGAGAUGCCGAGACGUCUCUGCCAAGACUGGCGGAGUGUGUGAGGCUCGGGAACGGCACCCGAGAUUAGCCUAGAGAAACAAUCCCCGCAGCUCUCUCGGGUGUCCGGAGCAACCGCGAGCCACGCCUCCUUCCUGGUGGGCACUAACAUCUCUCACCCAGGUUUGGCGUAAAAGGGAAAUGGAUGCCAGCCUAGGACCAUCGUCACGUGUGGCCUGCAUUCUAGUGCUUGAAAGGAGCAAUAGUAUAUUUGUGAAACCUGGGUGCGGAGGAGAAAGAUGUCACUGCAGAGCGGACCGUGUGGACCAGCCUCUAGGAAGCCGCAGAAACCCACCAUCUCGGGCAUGGGUGGACUUACUGACCAUCAUCUGCAAGCUUCAAGGAUCUUCCCUCGAAGCCAUUUGAUCAGGUUUCUGCACAGUGCUCCUGCCUCAACAUGGGAAGAAGAGCCCAACCUGCAGGCAGGCUCUGUCCUACCUAGAACAAACUCCACAGGGGAGAAUAGAGGUAGCUUACUGGAUGGAAAAGCUACCAAGAUCCUAAGGAGGCAUGAGGAACAGCUUCUUCUGUCCAUCCUUGAAUCCUCAGUCAGGAAGGAGCCAAUGAAAGUACAAGCCAAACAGUGGAUAAUGGCUUACCCCCACCAGCUUGCAACCAAAGCAGGAGGAAGCCACCCUGCCCUGCACCCUCCAGUGUCUCCCAGAGGAAGGCAACAGUAAGCCUGGCAAGCCAGGGCCAGCUCCCCUAACCUGUCUUCUCACAAACUGUGGUUCAAACCAGUUCUCCACCCCCAUCCAGACACACAACAGGUAUGAACAGGUAGGCCAUAAGUCACCACUGUUGGGCACAGAUACCCAGGAGAUGAUGGUGCAGCGAGGAGAUGCAUGGUUCUGAGGACUACCCCUAAUCUGGGCGAUGGUGAGCAGGGUCCCAUAUCCCCAGAGAGAACAGUCACAGUAGGCUUGAUGUGCACGACCUGCUAAACUCACCAUUUACUCCUCUCUCCCUGGCCCUUGCAUGAGAAUUCAUACCCAAGUGUCCACACAUACAGCUGGGAAGUCAAAAGCAUCCUGACCCAGUACAAACAAUGUGAAAACCCUGGCCAUCCCACCCUGUCAACAGGAAGUUCUGGAAAAGACUGUCAAGACAGCAGCACAGGAAGUCGGAAAAAGGCCACCUGGAGGGGCUCCUGAGGGCCCUGAGCAGGCAGGCCUUUGUAACAGUUUACUUGGGACAGCUGUCUGCCCCCAUCCCAAAAGCUAGAAGUCUAAAGUGUUCUCACAUAUACUAUAUACUCACAACUCUAGCAGCACCCAGUUUGAAUUAUGGCAGGAACUCCUGUUAAUAAGAGGCUGGGUGGCCCACUGAUAGCGUCCCCUACUUCCCCAUCCUGGACAGUGAUGUGAAAGCAUAGGCCAAAUAAAUCCAUUCUUCCCCAGGCUGCUCUGGUCAUGAUGUCCAAUCACAGCAGCAGUGAACUAAGACCCAGGACCAGAUACCAGAAUGGCAGCAUGGACACAGAACUCAGAAAUGUUCCCAUCACCCGUCCUGAGGACCAGUCCCUGUUCACAAGUGUUUACUGGGUAGAAUUUGAGCAUCACCGUUGGAGUUUAUACAGCCAUUUAUUUCCUGUGAGGAUUCAGUGAGACUGAGUCAAAUUGUCAAGAUGGGUUCAAUGAGCGACCUUCUCUCAAAAGAUAAGGUGGGAGGGCUAAAGAGAUGACUCAGUGGUUAAGAGCUAUACUGCCUUAGUUUUAGGUUAACUUGACACAAGCUAGAUUCAUCUUCGAGAAGGGAGCCUCGAUUGAGAAAACACCCCCCAUUUUUUUUCUUUUUCUUUUUUUUUUUUUUUUUUCUUUUUUCGGAGCUGGGGACUGAACCCAGGGC